UACGGAAGGCAGCAGUGGGGAAUAUUGCACAAUGGGCGCAAGCCUGAUGCAGCCAUGCCGCGUGUAUGAAGAAGGCCUUCGGGUUGUAAAGUACUUUCAGUCGUGAGGAAGGUGUUAAGGUUAAUAACCUUAGCAAUUGACGUUAGCGAUAGAAGAAGCACCGGCUAACUCCGUGCCAGCAGCCGCGGUAAUACGGAGGGUGCGAGCGUUAAUCGGAAUUACUGGGCGUAAAGGGCACGCAGGCGGUUAAUUAAGUUGGAUGUGAAUCCCCGGGCUUAACCUGGGAAUGGCAUUCAAGACUGGUUAGCUAGAGUCUUGUAGAGGGGGUAGAAUUCCAUGUGUAGCGGUGAAAUGCGUAGAGAUGUGGAGGAAUACCGGGUGGCGAAGGCGGCCCCUGGGACAAAGACUGACGCUCAUGUGCGAAAGCGUGGGGAGCAAACAGGGAUUAGAUACC
rnacentral:rRNA from 1 species